GGCCUGAUGGUCUAGUAGUAUGAUUCCUUGUUAGGGUUCAGCCAUCUCGAGGAGGUCCUGGGUUCAAUUCCCAGUUAGGCCC